UGCUUCUCUUGAGAGCGGCGGACGGGUGAGUAAUGCCUAGGAAUCUGCCUGGUAGUGGGGGAUAACGUCCGGAAACGGACGCUAAUACCGCAUACGUCCUACGGGAGAAAGCAGGGGACCUUCGGGCCUUGCGCUAUCAGAUGAGCCUAGGUCGGAUUAGCUAGUUGGUGGGGUAAUGGCUCACCAAGGCGACGAUCCGUAACUGGUCUGAGAGGAUGAUCAGUCACACUGGAACUGAGACACGGUCCAGACUCCUACGGGAGGCAGCAGUGGGGAAUAUUGGACAAUGGGCGAAAGCCUGAUCCAGCCAUGCCGCGUGUGUGAAGAAGGUCUUCGGAUUGUAAAGCACUUUAAGUUGGGAGGAAGGGCAGUAAAUUAAUACUUUGCUGUUUUGACGUUACCGACAGAAUAAGCACCGGCUAACUCUGUGCCAGCAGCCGCGGUAAUACAGAGGGUGCAAGCGUUAAUCGGAAUUACUGGGCGUAAAGCGCGCGUAGGUGGUUCGUUAAGUUGGAUGUGAAAUCCCCGGGCUCAACCUGGGAACUGCAUUCAAAACUGACGAGCUAGAGUAUGGUAGAGGGUGGUGGAAUUUCCUGUGUAGCGGUGAA
rnacentral:rRNA from 1 species